GUGUGGUGCUGGUUGCAUAGAUUGCAGGCGUACCGAUUAUGGCGAAGGGUUUCGGUUUUAUCGGUACGCCUGCAAUCUAUGCAACCAGCACCACAC
rnacentral:pre_miRNA from 1 species